rnacentral:lncRNA from 1 species
CACUUCGCUCCUACAAGCCCGGCUCACUAGUUCCAAGCUGCUGGACUUUGACCCUCGCUGGGAAGCUUGAUCGCCGCCUGUUCUCGCCAAUCUCUGCCUUUGCACUGCCCAGCAACCCGGUCACUGCCCAGGACCUGUUAAAAGUUGAAUGGACCUCCCAGAAUCACGCCGCUGCCACCGCCGUUUCUAGAGACGGCUUUUGGCCACCUUUGAGAAUCAGGGUCAAACUUGGAAGGGCCUGCAUUUGUCACACCUCCUCGGACACUAAUUUGGAUAGUUCAGGCCCAGAGACAGCUUCCCGGCAAUGUCAGUUUGCGCCUUUUGGUCUGAGGAACGCAGGCCCUGGCCACUACCAGGAAAAAAUCCUUUGCACAUGGCCUGCUAUCAACAAUCUUCUACAAUGAUUCUCAGCAUCACCUGGGGAGCUUAUGCAAAAUCUCAAAUUCCUGGGCCCUAUCCCCAGAGUUUCUUAUCGAGUAAGUCUGCAUUGG